rnacentral:rRNA from 1 species
CCCUUAGAUGUCCUGGGCCGCACGCGCGCUACACUGAUGCAUGCAACGAGUUUAUAACCUUGGCCUGAAAGGUCUGGGUAAUCUUUUGAACGUGCAUCGUGAUGGGGAUAGAUUAUUGCAAUUGUUAAUCUUGAACGAGGAAUUCCUAGUAAACGCGAGUCAUCAGCUCGCAUUGAUUACGUCCCUGCCCUUUGUACACACCGCCCGUCGCACCUACCGAUUGAAUGGUUCGGUGAAGAUCUCGGACUUCGAUAUUUAUUCUUUAUUGAGUUUAUAUUGUGGGAAGUUAUCUAAACCUCAUCAUUUAGAGGAAGGUGAAGUCGUAACA